AUUCAGAUAGGCAGGUCGGGAAGUAGUCUUUGCACAUGAUGCUGGCUUCCCCUUCUGAAUAUCUGUAAA
ensembl:miRNA